UACGUAGGGGGCAAGCGUUGCCCGGAUUCAUUGGGCGUAAAGAGCGUGUAGGCGGCCAGGUAGGUCGGUUGUGAAAACUGGAGGCUCAACCUUCAGAGGUCGACCGAAACCAUCUGGCUAGAGUCCGGGAGAGGAGAGUGGAAUUCCUGGUGUAGCGGUGAAAUGCGCAGAUAUCAGGAAGAACACCCGUGGCGAAAGCGGCUCUCUGGAACGGUACUGACGCUGAGACGCGAAAGCGUGGGGAGCGAACAGG
rnacentral:rRNA from 1 species